UACGUAGGGUGCAAGCGUUGUCCGGAAUUAUUGGGCGUAAAGAGCUCGUAGGCGGUCUGUCACGUCGGAUGUGAAAACUCGGGGCUCAACCCCGAGCCUGCAUACGAUACGGGCAGACUUGAGUUCGGCAGGGGAGACUGGAAUUCCUGGUGUAGCGGUGAAAUGCGCAGAUAUCAGGAGGAACACCGGUGGCGAAGGCGGGUCUCUGGGCCGAUACUGACGCUGAGGAGCGAAAGCGUGGGGAGCGAACAGG
rnacentral:rRNA from 1 species